AUUAGGCAAAGGUGGUUGGGACUCCAGAAUUUUUGGCCUGUUAUACCUGUCAUAGAUCUCUGUUCUAUGAGCAGAGACUGAGUGGGGGAAAGUAGCCUCUAUCUCAUGGCUACCUUGCCUGGAAUUUAACCUUUGCAAUAUGUAGCUGAAGUAGAUGAAAAAUGCUGAAACCCUGAUGUUGCUGAAGAAAUAUUAUAGCCCUUGACUAGGAGAUAGAGGAAAAUGAAACUGCGUCUUCUCAGCCACCCUUGGCCAGAAUGACGCUCACAUCAUGCUAAGUAUGGGGAAAGGGAUUAGGUCAUGGCCAAGUGUCAAAGAUUCUCAUUGUUCUAACUGAACAGCAAGAUUUACAGUGAUUUUUUCUUUUUUUUUUUUGUGGUUGUUUUUUUUGACAAAAUCUUGCUCUUGUCGCCCAGGCUGGAGUGCAAUGGCAUGAUCUGGGCUCACUGCAACAUCCACCUCCCUGAUUCAAGCAAUUCUCCUGCCUUAGCCUCCUGAGUACCCUGGGAUUACAGGAAGUUCAAGCUGCUAGAUGGACAGGUCAAAUGAAGAAACAGAUGCCUGACCACUACUAAGCUGUAACUGAUACUGCAGUUGAGAUACAAGAUGUGAAUCUAAAAGAAAUCACCUCGGAUGUCUAGCCCUGUCCUCAAAUAAUUUCAGCUCGGCUGUCUCAUGACUACAACCAUACAAGAAACCCCAACAGCCAACAUAUGGAAACAACCUAAAUGUCUGUCGACAGGUGAAUGAAUAAAGAAAAUGUGGUAUAUACAUACAGCAGAAUAUUGUUCAGUCUUAAAAAAGAAGGAAACCUUACAAUAUGCAGCAUCAUGAAUGAACAUGGAGGACAUUAUGCUAAAUGAAAUAAGCCAGUCACAGAAGGAACAGACACUGCCUGAUUCCAAUCGUAGGAGAUAACUAGUAUUGUCAAAUUUAUAAAAUUGACAAGAGAAUGGUAGUUGCUAGUGGGUGAGCAGAGGGGAAGAUGAGGAGUUAUUGUUGAAUGUGUAUAAAGUUUUAAUUAUGCAAGAUGAGUAAGUUCUAGCGAUCUAUUGUACAACCUUGUGCCUAUAGUUAACAAUGAUGUAUUGUGGAUGUAAAAAUUUGUUAAAGAGGAUACAUCUCAUAUUGUUUUCUUACCACAGUAAAAAAAAAAAGAAACAAAUAAACAAGAAUGUAUAUAGUACUGAAAACUGUAUGUCUGAUGAUUAAAAAUUAAGAAUAUCCUCAAUACCACAUAAUUUACACAAUAGAUACAAAAGGUGUUGGCAACAAAGCAUGUCUGUCAACUUGGCUUAAAUUUUAAUCAUAAUCUCUCAAAGUCUUGAGAGAAGGCUAUGUUUUGUUCGUGUCAUUGUUAUUGUUGUUGUUUGACUCUAAAGAAUAAAUGAGAUCUUGGUAAAUUUUUGUUAUAUGCAAUACGUAUCUAAGGAACUACAAAAAUCAACUUCUAUUACUCUUGCCUAAUUCUUUCUUAGUACAUGAUUAGAUCUGUGUAGUACUUCAUUGAUCGUCUGCUGUGUAGGCAGCAUAGGCUCAAUGUUUAUUGAAUGCAGAUUUACG
rnacentral:lncRNA from 1 species